GCUGGGCGCUGUGGCACAUGCCUGUAAUCUCAGUAGCUCCAGAGGCUGAGGCAGGAGGAUUAUGGGUUCAAAGCCAGCCUCAGCAACUUAGCAAGGCACUUAGCAACUCAGCAAGACCCUGUCUCUA
rnacentral:sRNA from 1 species